rnacentral:rRNA from 1 species
UACGUAGGGUGCGAGCGUUGUCCGGAAUUAUUGGGCGUAAAGAGCUCGUAGGCGGUCUGUCGCGUCGAUCGUGAAAACUUGGGGCUUAACCCUGAGCUUGCGGUCGAUACGGGCAUGACUGGAGUUCGGCAGGGGAGACUGGAAUUCCUGGUGUAGCGGUGGAAUGCGCAGAUAUCAGGAGGAACACCAAUAGCGAAGGCAGCUCGCUGGGACGGUACUGACACUGAGGCGCGAAAGCGUGGGGAGCGAACAGG